rnacentral:ncRNA from 1 species
AAAAUCUGCUCACUCAAUGGUAUCAGAUUUAGAGCUCUAUUAUAGAGGUCAGUUUAUUUUUCCUGCGCAAGCAAACACAUUACGAGGUCUGUAAAAGCCUUAGUAGAAUUAACGAAAGGGCAAGACAGC